UGGGGAAUAUUGGACAAUGGGCGCAAGCCUGAUCCAGCCAUGCCGCGUGAGUGAUGAAGGCCCUAGGGUUGUAAAGCUCUUUCCCCGGUGAAGAUAAUGACGGUAACCGGAGAAGAAGCCCCGGCUAACUUCGUGCCAGCAGCCGCGGUAAUACGAAGGGGGCUAGCGUUGUUCGGAUUUACUGGGCGUAAAGCGCACGUAGGCGGACUUUUAAGUCAGGGGUGAAAUCCCGGGGCUCAACCCCGGAACUGCCUUUGAUACUGGAAGUCUUGAGUAUGGUAGAGGUGGGGGGAAUUCCGAGUGUAGAGGUGAAAUUCGUAGAUAUUCGGAGGAACACCAGUGGCGAAGGCGGCUCACUGGACCAUUACUGACGCUGAGGUGCGAAAGCGUGGGGAGCAAACAGG
rnacentral:rRNA from 1 species